rnacentral:rRNA from 1 species
UGAGGAAUAUUGCUUAAUGGCCGCAAGGCUGAAGCAGCAACGCCGCGUGAGGGAUGAAGGAUCUAUGGUCUGUAAACCUCUGUAGAGAAGGAAAAAUAACCCAUUAUAUGGGCUUGAUAGUACUUCUAGAGUAAGCCCCGGCUAACUACGUGCCAGCAGCCGCGGUAAUACGUAGGGGGCGAGCGUUGUCCGGAAUCACUGGGUGUAAAGGGUGCUCAGGCGGGUCGAUAAGUCAGAGGUGAAAUUUCACAGCUUAACUGUGAAUGUGCUUUUGAUACUGUCGGUCUAGAGUUCAGAAGAGGGCAAUGGAAUUCUUGGUGGAGCGGUGAAAUGCGUAGAUAUCAAGAAGAACAACAGUUGCGAAGGUGGUUGCGUGGUGUGUAACUGACGCGCAAGCACGAAAGCGUGGGGAUCAAACA